CUGUGCGCCACUGAUGCAGGGGGAUCCAUCAUGGCGUCGAUGCAGAAAAGGUUACAGAAGGAGCUGCUAGCCUUGCAGAAUGAUCCACCCCCUGGAAUGACCCUAAACGAGAAGAGCGUACAAAACACCAUUACACAAUGGAUAGUGGACAUGGAAGGAGCCUCUGGUACUGUUUAUGAAGGGGAAAAAUUCCAGCUUCUUUUUAAAUUUAGUAGUCGUUAUCCCUUUGACUCGCCUCAGGUAAUGUUCACAGGAGACAAUAUACCUGUCCAUCCCCACGUUUAUAGCAAUGGCCACAUCUGCCUGUCCAUCUUAACGGAGGACUGGUCACCAGCCCUUUCAGUCCAGUCUGUUUGUCUUAGCAUUAUUAGCAUGCUGUCCAGCUGCAAAGAGAAGCAUGAUCACUCCAGUCUUCAUUGUCUUACAUUCUUCUAAUGUGCUUAUUUGGUGAAUAAACCAGGUUUCUUGUUAUUAACAGUGUUGGAGACGGCCUCCUGAUAAUUCAUUUUAUGUACGAACUUGUAAUAAAAAUCCAAAGAAGACAAAAUGGUGGUAUCAUGAUGAUACCUGUUAAUAUGAACUUUCUUGAACUCCAAGAGGGAAGAAGUUCUACUGACCUAUAGAAGCACUUUUUUGAAUAUCAUAUGGUCUCUGAACUUUAACCUUGGACUCAAACUAAAGCAUGGACUCCUGUGGACCACAAACACGGGAAACGAUGUCAGCUGUGUUACUGGUAGCCAGUUGGAUGCAUGUUUGGGGGUUAACAAAAGAGAUGACGAAUGGAAAUAAAUUAUAAACAGAACGGAAACGGACCAUCAUUGGUAGUUGUGAAGAAAUUUUGUUUCAUCCAGGAUUUUAUUAUUAUUUUAUUUUGAUAGUAAGAUUACCACACCACACUGUUCAUUUUCUGUCUCUAGUUUGUUUUAAGCUCCACGUGUCUUGUGCAAUAACAAGAAUUUGGGUGCAUUUUCAGGGCCAAUAAUGAGAAAUCCAAAUCAAUAGUCACGAUCCAAAACAAAUACUGAAAUGAUUGUAGUGUUCCUUCGCUUUACUUUCAUUCCUACUGAAAUGAUAUGCACUGUGAAAUGAUAUAAGAAAAGAAAGGUUUGUUUAGGAGGUUGAAUUUCUGAUGAAUCGCUGUAAAUAGUUUAAUAUACAAAUGGUACGUUUUGUUCUCAUUCAUCUCAAGUUCUGAUAUCACUGCAUAUGGAGGUUAGUCUCUGAGUCUUCUUUGGACUUUAUUUGGUGCAUUUAAGCAUUAAAACCAACCUUGAUCAUCAAUCAAUCUCAUACUUACCUCUACUAACUCCUACCGGAUGAAACCAGGGCCUAAAACUAAAUUGCUGUUGUUUAGUAUAUGAUACUAAUGGUAUUAAUAAUGGCUGAGAAAGCAAUAUGGUUCAGUAUGAUUAUGAAAACUUUACAGAAAACUAGUAUUCAGUAUUUUGAAGCAGCUUGCUGUGUAUUUGAAAAGGCAAACAUUUUCCCAGGUUUAGAUUGAAAAUAGUUCAUAAAUGGGCUGCCAAUAAAACAGAAUCCUUUCAAAAUAGUAGUAAUCUCCUCCAAAAUAAAAGCUUUGUUGUUUAACUUAAAAGCUAAUAAAAUAAUCUAUAUAAAAUCAAACGAUAAUAAUUGCAAUGACAUGUUUUGCCUCUAUUUACCUCAAUUAUGCAUUGCUUUUGGGCCAGUAAAAUAUUUAUUGUAUUGUGAUAGAUUUUCUCAAAUGUUUUUGCUUAGUUUUAGGCCCUGGACACAGAAGUAUUCAGUGUAGAUUUGCAGUGCUUGGUAAACCAGUAUAUUGAAUGUUGGCAAGAAAGUUCUGUCUUGUGUUCUAUCUUAUUUGUAUAAAAUCUUUUUUACGAGAUUGAGUUUGCUCAAAUAUCUUUUAAAUAUUCCAAUUUUCUUUUCUUUCCAUGUUUUUACUUUAUCGAAAGUAACCAAUAAGAUUUGAAAAAUGGCAGUAUGUUUGGGAUUGUACAUCUUAUUUAAUUCGAGGUUCCUGUUUUAUUCUUUGUAACCUCAAAUGUAACCUUUUUGGAAGUCAUUGCAAUUUUUGUAUAUUCUCAAGGUGUUGAUUAUCCUGGUCAUACUUGUCUGGCUCAGGUAUUUUUAUUUUGUUUUUUAAGGAUGAAAAAAAAAAACUGAAAUAUUUUCCAUUUGACUAUAUUUUCUCCUCAAGGACUGUUACAUAGUUUAGGAAACGAAUGGAACAAAUCGAUUUAUGUAACUUUAAAAGUAAAAAUUAUUAGCAUGGACUACAUGUAGAUAUAGGCAAAUUAUGAUAUUGCACAGCACAUACACAGUUAUUUCAAAUUAAAUUAUAUAAUUUAGUUUUCCUGAAAAUUUGUUGCUAGGGUCAAUGAUUAUGAGGUUUGGCUUUUAUGUUAUCUGGGAUUAAAUAAGAAAGAAAGAAAAAAACAAAAAAACAAAGUAGUACCCAACUAUAUGUAUAUGUUUGACAAACAAAUUCUGACCAGAAAUGAGAAAUUUUACACUGUUUAUGAACUUCUCACACUCCAAAGAUGUAUUUUUUAGCCAUCUCUUCAGAAAUACUUGAAUAUUCCACAGCUGGUUGGCUUGUCAUCUUUUUUUUUAUUUUUUUUUUCCAUUGUCUGUGGCACAGUGUAUUUAGACCUCCUAGUGAAUGUGUUGGUGUAGAACACAUGGAGAUGGCCAUGACUCUUCCCUCUGCACACAUUAUCAGGAUAUUUUAUUUGAUCAAUUGUUCUUGCUACUAAACGAAAAUGUGUGGAAAUGAAACCACGGCUAAACUUGAAUGUGUGAUUGAUGGCAGAGAAUUGUGCGUCAUCAUUUAAAAGGAAGUCAAUUAAUGUACACGCUUAAGGUUAAGUAUACACUUGGGUAUAUAUAUAUAAUAAAUCUUUUUUUUUUGUUAUAAUGAAGGGUUCUAUUUAAAUUUUGGUUUGCAAGAUGUAAGAAGUAAUAAGAGAUUUUUUUUCUUUCAUUGAGUUUUUUGGUAUGUAUACAAAUUAUGUAACUUGUGCCUGUUAAUUUUAAGAAUAAAAAUACAGGUUUUGA